GAACUCCUGCCGCAUCUCCCAGACUUCUCCAACGAUGAGCUUCUUCAGUCAUCUAUCAGGCUGCUCCAAAUGCUCUCGAGAUUCUACCGUCGGCCGACCUCCUACAAGGGUCAACCGUUCUCCGGACCUCUUCCUGAUUUUCUCCCAACAGGAUUCGAUCGACUCCAAUCCGAAUUUCUUUCAGAACUUCGUCAGUUCGUCAGUGACCGAACUUUCCCAACAAUAGAUCUCUACGACGGAUGGACUCCAUCCAAGUUUCUACGGUGGUCGACCGCCUUUCAAACUUCGUCCGAGCUCCUACGGGAGCCAGACUCCUUCCCCGAACUCC
rnacentral:lncRNA from 1 species